rnacentral:lncRNA from 1 species
AAUUAUUGCGCGCCGCGCAAGCCACUAUCUUGAUAGCCUGGAAAAAUGUAAACUUGUUUUAAUUCAAACAAUGUAUUGUUCGUACCGUUAUGGAUCUGGAAUGAAACUGCUCCACAUGGGGUAAACGUCUCUGUUCGUGCUGUCUCUUCCAUUUGUCAAACCACUUUCAGGAAAUACGAUAAUAUCCGUGUACUGCAAUAUCAAUCAUCACUUCGCUUACACUAUUGUUGGCAUUUUCGUUGAAUAUUUCUUCAGGACUAUCGCCAAUUUUGAUCGGAUGAUAUUCAACGACUGCUGCCCUAUACGCGAUACCGUUUUCUUCUUUUGCAAAUGCUGAAAACUGGGCAUAGCUUAUAAAGCUCAACACUGAAUGCUUCGCUCGGAAUUAGUAUUGAAAAGGUAGAAAAAAAGCUGUAAUCGUAAACGUACAUGGUGCACAUCAAGCAUUAGUUUGUGAAGCGAGAUUACAAAAAAAUCAUACCUCUAAACAACAGAGCUCAGCAAUCAGAAUCUGGAGGACGAAAGAGACACGUUUGACCAACAUCACGAAAGAAGUAACAUU